UGGGGAAUAUUGGACAAUGGGCGAAAGCCUGAUCCAGCAAUGCCGCGUGAGUGAUGAAGGCCUUAGGGUUGUAAAGCUCUUUUACCCGGGAUGAUAAUGACAGUACCGGGAGAAUAAGCCCCGGCUAACUCCGUGCCAGCAGCCGCGGUAAUACGGAGGGGGCUAGCGUUGUUCGGAAUUACUGGGCGUAAAGCGCACGUAGGCGGCUUUGUAAGUUAGAGGUGAAAGCCUGGAGCUUAACUCCAGAACUGCCUUUAAGACUGCAUCGCUUGAAUCCAGGAGAGGUGAGUGGAAUUCCGAGUGUAGAGGUGAAAUUCGUAGAUAUUCGGAAGAACACCAGUGGCGAAGGCGGCUCACUGGACUGGUAUUGACGCUGAGGUGCGAAAGCGUGGGGAGCAAACAG
rnacentral:rRNA from 1 species